rnacentral:rRNA from 1 species
UACGGGGGGAGCAAGCGUUGUUCGGAUUUACUGGGCGUAAAGGGCGCGUAGGCGGCCAGCGCAAGUCAGUUGUGAAAUCUCCGAGCUUAACUCGGAAAGGUCAACUGAUACUGCGCGGCUAGAGUGCGGGAGGGGCAACUGGAAUUCUUGGUGUAGCGGUGAAAUGCGUAGAUAUCAAGAGGAACACCUGCGGCGAAGGCGGGUUGCUGGGCCGACACUGACGCUGAGGCGCGAAAGCCAGGGGAGCAAACGGG